CUUGAGGAAUUGAAGGCAUUGGAAGAGCACCUUAAGGCACAUGGUCCAUUUAUUGCUGGAGAAAAGAUCACUGCUGUGGAAUUGAGCUUGGCACCAAAGCUGUACCAUCUUGAGGUUGCUCUUGGCCAUUUUAAAAAGUGGACUGUCCCUGAAAACUUGCCUUAUGUCCACAAUUACAUGGAGUUGCUCUUCUCCCGGGAAUCUUUCCAGAAGACCAAGGCUACAACGGAACAUGUGAUCUCAGGGUGGGAGCCUAAGGUC
rnacentral:misc_RNA from 1 species